rnacentral:rRNA from 1 species
CCUACGGGUGGCAGCAGUGAGGAAUAUUGGUCAAUGGGCGCGAGCCUGAACCAGCCAAGUCGCGUGAGGGAAGACGGUCCUAUGGAUUGUAAACCUCUUUUGUCGGGGAGCAAAAGGCGCCACGCGUGGCGUUUUGCGAGUACCUGAAGAAAAAGCAUCGGCUAACUCCGUGCCAGCAGCCGCGGUAAUACGGAGGAUGCGAGCGUUAUCCGGAUUUUUUGGGUUUAAAGGGUGCGUAGGCGGAUUGUUAAGUACAUUGUGAAAUUUUGGGGCUCAACCGUAUAAGUGCAGUUGAAACUGGCAGUCUUGAGUACAGUAGAAGUAGGCGGAAUGCGUGGUGUAGCGGUGAAAUGCAUAGAUAUCACGAAGAACUCCGAUUGCGAAGGCAGUUCACUGGAGUUCAACUGACACUGAGGCACGAAAGUGUGGGUAUCGAACAGGAUUAGAUACCCGUGUAGUC